rnacentral:rRNA from 1 species
UAUGUAGGGGGCUAGCGUUGUCCGGAAUCAUUGGGCGUAAAGCGCGUGUAGGCGGUCCGGUAAGUCCGCUGUGAAAGUCGAGGGCUCAACCCUCGAAUGCCGGUGGAUACUGUCGGGCUAGAGUGCGGAAGAGGCGAGUGGAAUUCCUGGUGUAGCGGUGAAAUGCGCAGAUAUCAGGAGGAACACCUAUUGCGAAGGCAGCUCGCUGGGACGUUACUGACGCUGAGACGCGAAAGCGUGGGGAGCAAACAGG